rnacentral:rRNA from 1 species
AACGAACGCUGGCGGCAGGCUUAACACAUGCAAGUCGAACGCCCCGCAAGGGGAGUGGCAGACGGGUGAGUAACGCGUGGGAAUCUACCUAGUUCUACGGAACAACUGAGGGAAACUUCAGCUAAUACCGUAUACGCCCCAAGGGGGAAAGAUUUAUCGGAAUUAGAUGAGCCCGCGUUGGAUUAGCUAGUUGGUGGGGUAAUGGCCUACCAAGGCGACGAUCUAUAGCUGGUCUGAGAGGAUGAUCAGCCACACUGGGACUGAGACACGGCCCAGACUCCUACGGGAGGCAGCAGUGGGGAAUAUUGGACAAUGGGCGCAAGCCUGAUCCAGCCAUGCCGCGUGAGUGAUGAAGGCCUUAGGGUUGUAAAGCUCUUUCAGUGGGGACGAUAAUGACGGUACCCACAGAAGAAGCCCCGGCUAACUUCGUGCCAGCCGCCGCAGUAAAAC